GGCGCGAUGGCGAAGAGGUAACGCAGUGGUCUGCAAAACCACUAUGCGAGGGUUCGAUUCCCUCUCGCGCCU
rnacentral:tRNA from 1 species